rnacentral:rRNA from 1 species
UACGGAGGGGGCUAGCGUUGUUCGGAAUUACUGGGCGUAAAGCGCACGUAGGCGGAUCGGACAGUUGGGGGUGAAAUCCCGGGGCUCAACCCCGGAACGGCCUUCAAAACUACCGGUCUGGAGUUCGAGAGAGGUGAGUGGAAUUCCGAGUGUAGAGGUGAAAUUCGUAGAUAUUCGGAGGAACACCAGUGGCGAAGGCGGCUCACUGGCUCGAUACUGACGCUGAGGUGCGAAAGCGUGGGGAGCAAACA